AUAAGACUGGCGGGCAUGACGCACACGAACACAACAUGUCUGAAAAGAAUGGUCCUAAGGGAACGCCGCUCUAGCACGCUGUCCAAGGGGCCAAAUCCGGCUAUUUAAGAGGGACGGUGGCACCCAACCCUAGCUGCACUCAUAUUUCCCUUCCCUCUGUACCACCACUUCCUAUCAACUCGCAGCUGGGAACUCGCCAUCCGCCUAUAGCCAUGGCCCGACAACGGAUCACCACUUAAGCAAUGCUCACCCCGGAGCGUUGGUUAGAGCUCCUUGAGGAUAUUCGGGACCGGCAGAAGAUCGGAUUGCAGCCGGCCUGCUUUUGGACUCGCCGGAGCAGAAGGAGGUACUUGGUUGCAUGUGUUGCAUGUGUUGUAUGGAUUAUGUACAUAGUACCAACUAGUUUUUGUGUUGCAUGCGUUGUAUGGAUUUGAGGUACUUGGUUGCACAAAAGACAUCCGUCUUCGUAGCUUUGAGAAGAAAGAAAUGAGAUCUUGCCUCCUGCCACCAGGGCGCCUUCGUCCGCCGCCGUCCUCCGGCGGCUCCCCUCCGCUGACGACCUCGGUCGUCGGUGGUGGGGGGUUGCCAGAUCCAUGCGUGUGGAUUGUUUUAGGAAUUAGUUUCUUAGGAUUUUGGGUUGUUCAUCGUCAUGGCUUCGGCGGAGGCAAUGGCAAUGCCGACUAAAUCUUCAGAUCCUUCCGCAACGAGGUGAUCCUCUUUUGGGGUGGAUUUGGAAACCAGACUGUUCAAGCAAGGAUGGUGCGGCGGCAGCGGUAUCCUCGCUGUGGACUUGUGUCCUCGGGCUCCGCCGUUGCGAUGACGUUUGGUCCAGUGCCGGCGUGGAGCUUGGGAGGUAGUUCAGGAGCGGAUGCAGAUUGUGGUCUGCAUCGACGGCAUCUGGAAGAAAGUGGGCCUGGGUUCGUGGUUCGUGGCAGGCAUGUAUGGUUUCCUCUUCCAAUGUCUUAGUUGGGCGGUGGUGCCAGAUAUGGAGUUCGAUGGCGUGUUCGGGGUGUUGCCCCGAUCUGAUUCCUUCAACGGCAAUGGCUUCGCCUUUAUUGGCGAGCCACCUUCGUGAUCCACAAAGUUGCAUAUCAGUGAUGGAGCCGCGUCGAAUUCGGGUGUGGAGAUGAUCCGUCAUUUUCUCUUUUGGUGGCUGCUAUGAUGGUGCCAGAGGCAGGUGACGGACGUUGGGGUCAAGCUCAGAGGAUUCUUCAGUCUUGUUUGUAAUUUUAUUUCUUGACUGGUGUUCUUGUGUGCAAAGGCUAGCAUUCUGCUAUCUUUUCAGUUUUGUCAGGUCGAUAUGUACGUGGCUUGUACUAUGAUCCUUAUGAUAUAAACGAGACAUGUAUUACCAUGCAAAAAGAAUUACUUGGUUGCACCCGACGAAAAAUGAGGAUGACCGGGCCCUCUCAGUGAACAUGCCUGGACGCGUCCGUAAACAUAUGGACGGAAUUUUCUAUAUACGGCUGUAGAUGCUCUAAGUGCUAC
rnacentral:rRNA from 1 species